GUCUUAUUGAUUUAUUUAAUAAGUCUGGCCUGCCCAGUGACGAUUUUAACGGCCGCGGUAUAUUGACCGUGCAAAGGUAGCAUAAUCAUUAGUCUUUUAAUAGGGGGCUGGAAUGAAAGGUUUAACGAGAAAUUAACUGUCUCAAUUACAGAAUUGAAUUUAUCUUUUGAGUCAAAAGACUUAAAUUUAGUUGGAGGACGAGAAGACCCUAUAGAACUUAACAUUUUUUUUCCUAUAUUUAUUUAGGUCAUUAUUAUUUAUUUAUAUUUAAAAAAUUGUUUUGUUGGGGUGACAAUAAAUAUAUAUUUAACUUUUAUCAUAUUAUGAACAUUAAUUUAUGAUUUUUGGAUCCAAAAAUUUUGAUCAUUAGAUUAAGUUACC
rnacentral:rRNA from 1 species